AACGAACGCUGGCGGCAUGCCUAACACAUGCAAGUCGAACGAGACCUUCGGGUCUAGUGGCGCACGGGUGCGUAACGCGUGGGAAUCUGCCCUUAGGUUCGGAAUAACUCAGGGAAACUUGAGCUAAUACCGGAUAAUGACGCAAGUCCAAAGAUUUAUCGCCUAGGGAUGAGCCCGCGUAGGAUUAGCUAGUUGGUGGGGUAAAAGCCUACCAAGGCGACGAUCCUUAGCUGGUCGAGAGGAUGAUCAGCCACACUGGGACUGAGACACGGCCCAGACUCCUACGGGAGGCAGCAGUGGGGAAUAUUGGACAAUGGGCGAAAGCCUGAUCCAGCAAUGCCGCGUGAGUGAUGAAGGCCUUAGGGUUGUAAAGCUCUUUUACCCGGGAUGAUAAUGACAGUACCGGGAGAAUAA
rnacentral:rRNA from 1 species